rnacentral:lncRNA from 1 species
GGGGCUUCCAAACGGGCCUUUUGGGUUGCUGGGAGCUGUUGAAGGCUUGUCGUACUUGUCCCUUCUUGCAAUUACAGUUGUUUUUGGCCUGCAAUUCGCCGAGAAGGGUUCCCUUCCCGGGCCACUGCCUAGUGAUCAGUGCUUUGGUUGAGUGUUUUUCUCAACAAUCUUUUCUGCUUUCUUAAUUUUUCUUCGUUUAUAACUUUUUUCUGUUGUUUGUAAAAUAUUGGCAAUUAAUGUCUUAUCACCUUCCAUCUUCAUCGAAGCCACCUUCCAUCUUCAUCGAAGCUCCGGUUUAGACAUUCUUCUUCUCUCAUGGAGUUCGUGAGCUCAAGAAGAACGCAUGCUUUCCGGAUACGGUUAUGUUAGGAUUUUAGCGGCAUGUAAUUUUCAACUAAAAAGCACCUUGACAAGUAAAGACGAUAUAUUUCCCCACCGAUGCUUAUGCUUGCAAUGUGAAU